rnacentral:rRNA from 1 species
AAUGGUUGACCUCGGAUCAGGUAGGAAUACCCGCUGAACUUAAGCAUAUCAAU